ensembl:lncRNA
GGGGUGUCGGUACAGAGUCAAUGUGGAGGCUAUAUAUAGGGGGUGCCGGUACAGAGUCAAUGUGGAGGCUAUAUACAGGGUAUUACGGUACAGAGUCAAUGUGGAGGCUAUAUAUAGGGGGUGCCGGUACAGAGUCAGUGUGGAGGCUAUAUACAGGGGGUGCCAGUACAGAGUCAAGGUGGAGGCUAUAUAUAGGGGGUGUCGGUACAGAGUCAAUGUGGAGGCUAUAUAUAGGGGGUGUCGGUACAGAGUCAAUGUGGAGGCUAUAUAUAGGGGGUGUCGGUACAGAGUCAAUGUGGAGGCUAUAUAUAGGGGGGUGCCGGUACAGAGUCAGUGUGGAGGCUAUAUAUAGGGGGUGUCGGUACAGAGUCAAUGUGGAGGCUAUAUACAGGGGGGUGCCGGUACAGAGUCAAUGUGGAGGCUAUAUACAGGGGGGUGCCGGUACAGAGUCAAUGUGGAGGCUAUAUACAGGGGGUGCCGGUACAGAGUCAAUGUGGAGGCUAUAUACAGGGGGUGUCGGUACAGAGUCAAUGUGGAGGCUAUAUACAGGGGGUACUGGUACAGAGUCAGUGUGUGGG